rnacentral:rRNA from 1 species
UGGGGAAUAUUGGACAAUGGGGGCAACCCUGAUCCAGCAAUGCCGCGUGUGUGAAGAAGGCCUUCGGGUUGUAAAGCACUUUUAUCGGGAACGAAACAUUGUCGGCCAAUACCCGGCAAGACUGACGGUACCCGAGGAAUAAGCACCGGCUAACUCCGUGCCAGCAGCCGCGGUAAUACGGAGGGUGCAAGCGUUAAUCGGAAUUACUGGGCGUAAAGCGUGCGCAGGCGGUUUGUUAAGUCUGCUGUGAAAUCCCCGAGCUCAACUUGGGAAUUGCAGUGGAUACUGGCAAGCUGGAGUACGGUAGAGGAAGGUGGAAUUCCCGGUGUAGCAGUGAAAUGCGUAGAGAUCGGGAGGAACACAAGUGGCGAAGGCGGCCUUCUGGACCAGUACUGACGCUCAUGCACGAAAGCGUGGGGAGCAAACA